AUAUAAUUUGUGGUAUGUGUGUAUGGAGGCCAGAGGUUCAAGUUAAGUGUCUUCCUCUCUUCUACUCUAUCUUGUCUUCUUUGAAACAGCAUCUCCACCUGAGCUCAGAGCUCACUGAUGGGCUGAUCUGUUUGUCAUUGUUCCAGCCGUGCUAGGAUCCCAGGCACAUGCCACCUCACCUAACAUUUCAUAUGGGAUCUGUGGAUCUGAGCUCAGACCAUUGUCCUGGUAUGCAAGGACUUUGUGACUGAGCCAUCUCCCUAACCUUUACUUUCUGAUUACUUAAUUAAGACUUUACAGUGGCAUGCAGUAAAAAGGAAGAAAUGCUGUUAGAAGUUUUUUGGUUUUUUGUUUUAUAACCUAAAGGCUGAAGAGAUGGCUCAUCAGGUAAAAAUCACUUGCCAUGCAAAUCUAAUGACUUGAGUUCAGUCCCUGGAACCCCCUUUAAAAAGAAAACCCAAACGACUUGCUUUUCUGCCGCACACCUGUGGUCUCUGUCCUUCUGUGCUGAGGUGGGAGUAGAGACAGGAAAAUCCCCAGAAACUGGAGGACCGGCAUGGAGGGUGGGGCGCCAACCUAGCAGAAAGGGUGCCAGAGCAGACCCAGCCUUGGCAGAGUGGAAGGAAAUGGCCCCCUGAGAGUUGUCCUCUGACACACACACACACACACACACACACACACACACACACACACACACACACCAUUAACUCUUAAAAUAAUUUAUGGAGAUUGUAACUAUAAAAGUUUUAGAUUCUAAAAUACAUUUUUCUAACCCUUUCCCUGUGAGUACAUUAAAGUAAGUCUUUUAGAUUUCAGUUUGAUUUGAUAAUGUAGCUAUAUGAAUUCCUUUCCUUUGUAAGAAAGCUCAGCUAUUUUCUAUUUCAGUUUCAAAGAUAUAAUUACUAACGGGAAUUUCAGUACAAGCUGUAAGUGUAGCUAAGAUUUUCCUAUGUGCUGCUGUUUGCUGGGAGAAUUCGGUUUCUGUUUCUUUAAAUUGUUGCUUGUUAAAUGGCAGCCUUGCUAUUCAGUUCAGAAACUCGGCUUUUUAAUUUCCACCUCUGCCUGCGUUCCAUAGGUGCUCUUAGUUCCACAGGUGCUCUUAGUUCCAUAGGUGGUCUUAGUUCCAUAGGUGGUCUGUGCUGUUGGGGCUUUGGAUUUUGCUAGGUCACAGGAACUUGAGUAGGAUCUAGUGAAGGAGUCAAAAUGGGUCUCAGUUCUCCAAAUAGCCUUGUUUUGGGGGUCGAGUAGCCUUGCCAAGUAACUUUCUAAUAUGCCUGCCUCUGCACCGCCAGCCCAGAUAUACCAUGUUAUUCUCUGACAGCACACACUGUUUCCUGUCACUUUUAAGGAUAGGUUAUUUUUCUUUGUCUGAGAUCAGAGACUUACUGUGUAGCCUUGGCUGCCCUUGAGCUUGCUGUGUAUAUCUGACUAGUCUUAAACUCCUAGAGAUCCACUUAUCUCAGCCUCCAAAGUCACCAUGCACUGCCUUUAAUGUCUAACAUAUUAAGUAAGAGUGUCAACACAUCGUGUAUCAACUCAUAGACCAUAGAAAAUGUAUUAGAAGAUAUAGAGUGACAACAUUAUAAAACACUUUGAAAUCAACCAGGGCCAGAACCAGGGCCAGCGAAUAGUAGAAGUGUGUGUGUAGUAUGCAAGAGGCCCUGGGUUUGAUCCCCAACACAGUUUUUUUUUUUUUUUUUUUUUUUUUUAAAGUUGGUUUUGUUUUAUUUUUUAAUGAGCCAGGCUUGGCAACACGGGCCUCUAAUUGCAGCUACUAGGAGGUUGAGAUAGGGGAUCAGUAGUUCAGGGCUUGCCUGGAUUGCAGAGUGAGUUGAAGACCAGCCUGGAAGGGAUUGUGGGGCUGUACAGGCCAACAUUUGCAGUAUUUGCAGUGACUGUUUUCAUUCUAGCCUGACUGACACACCUAGAUCUCUUCCUACUCUGUCCUUUGCGUGAUACCGUCUAUGUAGACUUAGUAGGGGACUUUAGUAGUUCCCCUGCAGUUCCGUGAUAGAGCCUCAGUUUGGGGAAGUGGGCAAUGAGAACUGGAGGAUAGCUUCAUAUUAUAAGAACACUGGGCUUUGCGCUUGGGCUGGGGGUGUCUUGGAAUACUUCCCUGCCUUGUGUGAAGCUCUGGGCUCGUUUCACAGGCUCCAUUAGGAAAAAAAAAAACAGACCUGGUCAGUGUUUAUGUGGCUGCUUCAGCUCCAUGGUUUUGGGACUGAUCUUUGAGGUCAACUGAAAUAGAUGUAAACCAAUUAGACCUUUAAAUGUUAACUCUUGUGAGCUAUUUACUUUAAUACAGUUUAUGAGAUUCUAGUAUUAGUGGUAGUACAUACACUGCAACCAUUAGGGCAGGUGACUGAAAGAAGCUGAGGAUAUGAAAUGAAUGAGUUUAGCUGAGCCUGUCCCCCACCCCCUC
rnacentral:lncRNA from 1 species